CUAAUAUUGAUCCAUUUGACGACUAAUUUUAAUGUUGUUUUCUUAUUUUUCUAGCAUAUGGCAAGAUGUAAGCACAAGGGUGGACAAGCAGAUGGAAAAAAAUAGCAUGUUCUCGGGGUCACUAGAAACCUUGUGGAUGCUUCAACUGGUAAUGAAAGCAAAUCGCUUUUCUCCACCGUAUUACAAUAACUAACUAUCUUAUUUUUCAUGAGUUCCCUUUUGGCUCAUUCAGUGUCAAAUGCACAAGCAGUGCAGAGAAGAACAAGGUAAACGUUCUGUAGCACAAUGUAAUUAUAGAAAACUUUAGUAUUUAGGAUAGAAAGGCGACUGGUCCAUAUAUGUUCAAAGUUUUCUUAUUUUGCAUAAACCACUUUAAGUGUUUUCAAUAGAGUUAUAGUAGGCUAUAUGGCUCGGACUCUCCUAAAUCGUUGUUGCAUCCGUAUCGAAUUUUUCAAAUGCAUUACUUUUGGAGUAUCCGACACGAAGAGACCAAGCAACAUAGCAAGAAGAAAAAGGUGUUCCAGCAAAUGCAGCAAUAAGAAGAAAGGUAUCUGGUAAGCCAAGAUGUGACACUGUUGUUGUGAUAAACCUUGUUGUGGAAAUCAAAAUUCUUUAGGAGAGCCGCUUAAGCACCUCUUGAGCAGAAGAAAAGCAAAGACGACUGGAAAAUUUUACUUCUCCCUCUUCACCAAGGAUGAAAGAUAUGAAUGCAUUCCCUUGCCUCGAUGAAAGGUAUAGCAAGUAAUAACAUUAUAUAUAGUUAGAUUGACCGUUCUAUUAUCAGGUUGUUUAUGGAUAUUCAAGUAAAUCAGACAAUCUUCUUCUUGAUGUUGUGAUCUUGUGCAUGACAGUUUAGGUUACAUUUCAAUAUUGAUAUUUUAAACUUGAAGUUUAGGUUAUAUAGAACAAGCCACAAAAACUCUUAUUUGAAUAGCUCGAUUUCUGAAAGUACCAUAUAAAAAAAAUGACAAGCUUUAUCAAAAUGGAUGAAAGCUAGAAAAAUAAUUCAGCCACACAUAUAAGUCAAUCGGUGAUUUAUUAUUCCAUAUUUGCCUAUUGUAUUUUUUCACUACAGGAAAUUUUUUAUGAUGAUUAAAAUGUCAACUUUUUGUCUACUUUGUAUUAAAUUGUUCAGGCUGUUAGCUUGGAUAGUAGUAAGUUUAUCGUUUUUUUAAUAUGAUUUUCUACGGCUCACUUUAUUUGUACUUAAAUAGAUAGUAGAUACCAAUGAACUCUUAACGCUUAUCUUCAGAUUCCACAUUUAGAUCAUAACCACUACAUAUCUAUUUUCUCACUCAUUGGUGAAAAAUCUAAAUCUGUCACUAUAUGCAAUAGUUUGAUAGAAGCAAGUUGAGAAUUGAACCGUACUUGGUGGACGUUUCUUCAACUGGACAUUUAAAUCGGGGCUCGACCCUAAACCCUUUCCUAGGUACAUGUAUAGGCUUCCAGAGUUGAACUAGGAAGCAACUGUAGUGGCCAUGUGACAUCUUCAACUUUACCCUCCGUUGGAGUCGAUUUGUAAGUCAAAUUUUAUGGAUGUUCAGAAAGAACUUGAUUGAUAAUGUUGUUUUUUCAGUUCACAGUGUUGGUUUGAUAUUUGAGAUCUGUUUAUGUUGUAAAUGUGUAGAGUCUAAUCUUUUGAUUGUAAAAAAAAAGUGAUUAUAAUCUUAGGCUAUGAAAUUUAUACAUCACUUCUCUUGCGGUUAGUGUUUUUUUUUAAUGCUCAAAUUUCCUCUUUAUUCAUGUUUUUUAUUUGUGGAUUCUAGCCUCGGGAGAACCUAUCGGAUAAAAAUAGUAGUAACAACAAGCGAAGAGGAUUGAAGUGACCAGUGUGUUUGACAAAAUUUUCCGGUGAAAGGAAGAUUGCCAACAAGUUUGUUUAACUGUUUUUCUACAACUAUCUACUAUCAAGCUCAUCACUUAGCAUGGACGUUAAUCCUCGAUAUUUCUUUUGCCAUUCUAUUCUCUACAUUAUGCUUCAUAUUCAAAGGACAUAUAUCUUGGAUCGAAAAUGAACACUCAUUUAGUUGAAUUGAGAUAUUGAAUUUUGUCACAUUUGUUUACUUGGUGUUAGAAUGAACCUUAUUUGAACUAUCAUACCAUGAUUCAAUGGUAUUGAAAAAUUG
rnacentral:lncRNA from 1 species